CCCUUAGAGUUUGAUCCUGGCUCAGGACGAACGCUGGCGGGGCGCCUAACACAUGCAAGUCGAACGAGCGAGAGAGAGCUUGCUUUCUCGAGCGAGUGGCGAACGGGUGAGUAACGCGUGAGGAACCUGCCUCAAAGAGGGGAACAACAGUUGGAAACGACUGCUAAUACCGCAUAAGCCCACGGGUCGGCAUCGACCAGAGGGAAAAGGAGCAAUCCGCUUUGAGAUGGCCUCGCGUCCGAUUAGCUGGUUGGUGAGGUAAUGGCCCACCAAGGCGACGAUCGGUAGCCGGACUGAGAGGUUGAACGGCCACAUUGGGACUGAGACACGGCCCAGACUCCUACGGGAGGCAGCAGUGGGGAAUAUUGCACAAUGGGGGGAACCCUGAUGCAGCGACGCCGCGUGGAGGAAGAAGGUCUUCGGAUUGUAAACUCCUGUUGUGAGGAAGAUAAUGACGGUACUCAACAAGGAAGUGACGGCUAUUACG
rnacentral:rRNA from 1 species